AAUGGCGAGGGAUGAGGUCAGGCCGGGCGACUCGAUCCCGAACAGGUUGACCAGCCCCGCAAGACCAUGGUCCUGCGGGCCUUGGAUCACGAAAUCCUGCCGCCCACGGCGGGCGGUACGAUCUUGGGCCGGAUUCCCGAAUAGCUCGGGGCCAGGGCGCCGUCGGGAAGCGUUGGCCAGUAACGGCGGAUCGCCGGAUAGAACCGCUCGGCCCG
rnacentral:misc_RNA from 1 species